rnacentral:lncRNA from 10 species
CCAGCGUGCAACGGCUCGGUGGUGAUGGUGAAGACUUAGAGGGCGAGCGCAGGCCAGAAGGCAGUGAAGGCGCAGCUGAAGAACACGGCCACCGUCAUGGAGACCGCAGAAGCCGACCAGGGGGCCCGUAGGAGACGCCGGAAGCUCUGAGACAACUUCCCAUUAUGUUGUCCAGGCUGGAAAGCACUAGCUGUUCACAGGCGUGAUCAUCGUGCAGUACAGCCUUGAACUCCUGGACUCAAGUGAUCCUCCUGCCUCAGCCUCAGAGAAAUCACAAGGUAUUUUUAUUGAAAAGUUUUACUCAAUAUGAAUUUUUAAUUAAUUAAUUACUUUCUUUGGCUACAAAAUGUUUUACUUACAAAUGAGCAAUAAGAAUCAGGCUGCUCUAAUGUAUAUAAUAGAAUUAUGAGAAUGUAGCUAAUUAUUUUAAUAUAAAAGUGGCUUGUCCAACAGGAGCUAUCUAGCCCUGGUAUUCAUUUUUCUAAUUCAUUCUUAAUUCAUUCCGUGGU